ensembl:lncRNA
CCUCCACAGAGAAUAGCUCCAGCAUUCCCAGUUACCCUCCAACGGCAAAAGUGCAAGGGACAAUCAUUUGAUGAAAAUUACUCUUGUAUUAGCAAUCAGUAACAACGUACACGCUUCACGAUGCGAGCAUUUGUUCCAUCAGCCUGCAGGGUCGCAGACCACACUGAGGAGCAGUGGGGAGUCCUGCUCAGCACCUGCAGCUCUCGCGAGGUGGCCCGCUAGCAAAGAAAGGCUUUGGCCACGGCCCAAAUAUCUGCCUGCACCUUCUGUGCAAACGCGGCAGCCUCAGGAAACCAGGAGGCAGCAAUAUUGUGGAAC